rnacentral:rRNA from 1 species
UACAGAGGUCUCAACCGUUGUUCGGAUUCAUUGGGCGUAAAGGGUGCGUAGGCGGCGGGGUAAGUCAGGUGUGAAAUCUCGGGGCUCAACCCCGAAACUGCACUUGAUACUGCCUCGCUUGAGUACUGGAGAGGAGACUGGAAUUUACGGUGUAGCAGUGAAAUGCGUAGAUAUCGUAAGGAAGACCAGUGGCGAAGGCGAAUCUCUGGACAGUUACUGACACUGAGGCACGAAGGCCAGGGGAGCAAACGGG